CAACCCCUGUGCACUUCGUCGGAGUCAAUGGGUCGCUCUUGCGGCUUUUGGCUUUGACUUAUCAUUUACAAACGCUUUACUUGUCUUGUAGAAUGUAAUGCCUCUUGUUGGGCGAAAUUAAAUACAACUUUCAACAACGGAUCUCUUGGCUCUCGCAUCGAUGAAGAACGCAGCGAAAUGCGAUAAGUAAUGUGAAUUGCAGAAUUCAGUGAAUCAUCGAAUCUUUGAACGCACCUUGCGCUCCUUGGCAUUCCGAGGAGCAUGCCUGUUUGAGUGUCAUGUUAAUCUCAAUCCCUUGGGUUUGUUAUGAACUCUUGAGAUUGGACUUGGAGGUUACUGCUGGCUUCACCGUCGGCUCCUCUUGAAUGUAUUAGCUGGGCCUUUAGCCUCGCGCUCGUGGUGUGAUAGUUUAUUCACCUUGAGUGUGGCUUGUAUGGGUCUGCUUCUAAUCGUCUUAAAACGACAAUACCUUGACUCUCUGACCUCAAAUCAGGUAGGACUACCCGCUGAACUUAAGCAUAUCAAUAAGCGGAG
rnacentral:rRNA from 1 species